UCGGUUAACCUGGAAAAAUUUCCAGCAGAUAACUUCCCUUGGUUUCACUCCAAAAAUCUAACUUUUCCCAUAGUUUCUUCAACUAAACCCCUUAUAAACCUGAGAUAACCAUAGUUCAUGCAUUUCUCACAUUAGUUUCCAAUUUUACACUAAUUACAGGCUGCAACAUUAGAUAAUAAACUCCCGUUCCUGCACUUCAGUCAAGUUCCAAAAUUUUCCCUCUCUAACAGAUUUU
rnacentral:lncRNA from 1 species